GAAAUACUCCCUCCGUCUGGAAUUACUUGUUGAAGAAAUGGAUAUAUCGACACGUAUUUUAGUUUUAAAUACAUCCAUUUUUAUUCAUUUUUGGGACAAGUAUUUUGGGACAGAGGGAGUAUUUA
rfam:Triticum aestivum genome assembly, contig: Triticum_aestivum_CS42_TGACv1_scaffold_500939_6BL